UACGUAGGGCGCAAGCGUUGUCCGGAAUUAUUGGGCGUAAAGAGCUCGUAGGCGGUCUGUCGCGUCUGCCGUGAAAACCCGAGGCUUAACCUCGGGCUGGCGGUGGAUACGGGCAGACUAGAGGUAGGUAGGGGAGAAUGGAAUUCCUGGUGUAGCGGUGAAAUGCGCAGAUAUCAGGAGGAACACCGAUGGCGAAGGCAGGUCUCUGGGCAUUAACUGACGCUGAGGAGCGAAAGCAUGGGGAGCGAACAGG
rnacentral:rRNA from 1 species